CUUGCUUCUUGGGGUUGUAGGACACUCUAUACGGAGUUACAAAAGAAAGUUAUAAAUGAAGUGGUCUGGAAAGGCCCGCCAAAGACGGUAACAGCCCGGUAGUUGAAAUGGCUUUCCCUCCAGAGUGGAUCCUGAGUACGGCGGAACACGUGAAAUUCCGUCGGAAUCCGGGAGGACCAUCUCCCAAGGCUAAAUACUCCCUAGUGACCGAUAGUGAACCAGUACCGUGAGGGAAAGGUGAAAAGCACCCCGGAAGGGGAGUGAAACAGUUCCUGAAACCGUGUGCCUACAAGUAGUUAGAGCCCGUUAAUGGGUGAUAGCGUGCCUUUUGUAGAAUGAACCGGCGAGUUACGAUUUGUUGCAAGGUUAAGCGGAAAAAGCGGAGCCGUAGCGAAAGCGAGUCUGAAUAGGGCGCAUAAGUAACAGGUCGUAGACCCGAAACCAGGUGAUCUACCCAUGUCCAGGAUGAAGGUAAGGUAAUACUUACUGGAGGUCCGAACCCACGCACGUUGAAAAGUGCGGGGAUGAGGUGUGGGUAGCGGAGAAAUUCCAAUCGAACUUGGAGAUAGCUGGUUCUCUCCGAAAUAGCUUUAGGGCUAGCCUCGAGGUAAAGAGUCAUGGAGGUAGAGCACUGUUUGGACUAGGGGCCCUUCUCGGGUUACCGAAUUCAGAUAAACUCCGAAUGCCAUGUACUUAUACUCGGGAGUCAGACUGCGAGUGAUAAGAUCCGUAGUCGAAAGGGAAACAGCCCAGACCACCAGUUAAGGUCCCCAAAUAUAUGUUAAGUGGAAAAGGAUGUGGGGUUGCUUAGACAACCAGGAUGUUGGCUUAGAAGCAGCCACCAUUGAAAGAGUGCGUAAUAGCUCACUGGUCGAGUGACCCCGCGCCGAAAAUGUACCGGGGCUAAACAUAUUACCGAAACUGUGGAUGAACCUCUUUAGAGGUUCGUGGUAGGAGAGCGUUCUAAGGGCGGUGAAGUCAGACCGGAAGGACUGGUGGAGCGCUUAGAAGUGAGAAUGCCGGUAUGAGUAGCGAAAGAAGGGUGAGAAUCCCUUCCACCGAAUAUCUAAGGUUUCCUGAGGAAGGCUCGUCCGCUCAGGGUUAGUCGGGACCUAAGCCGAGGCCGAUAGGCGUAGGCGAUGGACAACAGGUAGAGAUUCCUGUACCAGUGCUAAUUGUUUAACCGAUGGGGUGACACAGAAGGAUAGGGAAUCGCACGAAUGGAAAUGUGCGUCCAAGCAGUGAGUGUGAGAAGUAGGCAAAUCCGCUUCUCGCGAAGCAUGAGCUGUGAUGGGGAAGGAAAUUAAGUACGGAAGUUCCUGAUUUCACGCUGUCAAGAAAAGCCUCUAGGAAGAGUAGUACUGCCCGUACCGCAAACCGACACAGGUAGAUGAGGAGAGAAUCCUAAGGUGAGCGAGAGAACUCUCGUUAAGGAACUCGGCAAAAUGACCCCGUAACUUCGGGAGAAGGGGUGCUCUAUUAGGGUGCAAGCCCGAGAGAGCCGCAGUGAAUAGGCCCAGGCGACUGUUUAGCAAAAACACAGGUCUCUGCAAAACCGUAAGGUGACGUAUAGGGGCUGACGCCUGCCCGGUGCUGGAAGGUUAAGAGGAGUGCUUAGCUUCGGCGAAGGUACGAAUUGAAGCCCCAGUAAACGGCGGCCGUAACUAUAACGGUCCUAAGGUAGCGAAAUUCCUUGUCGGGUAAGUUCCGACCCGCACGAAAGGCGCAACGAUCUGGGCACUGUCUCAACGAGAGACUCGGUGAAAUUAUAGUACCUGUGAAGAUGCAGGUUACCCGCGACAGGACGGAAAGACCCCGUGGAGCUUUACUGCAACCUGAUAUGGAAUGUUUGUACCGCUUGUACAGGAUAGGUAGGAGCCGAAGAGACGUGUGCGCUAGCAUACGAGGAGGCAAUGGUGGGAUACUACCCUGGCUGUAUGACCAUUCUAACCCGCCACGCUUAGCGCGUGGGGAGACAGUGUCAGGUGGGCAGUUUGACUGGGGCGGUCGCCUCCUAAAGAGUAACGGAGGCGCCCAAAGGUUCCCUC
rnacentral:rRNA from 1 species